rnacentral:rRNA from 1 species
AAAAUUCUAUAUAAGAAAUUUAACGAAUAAAUAAAUUUAUUAUGGUUUAAAAAAUUUAUUUUAAAUUUAUUUUACAUAUAAAUUUUAGUGUUAAUUAUUAAUUAUUUAAAUAAUAUUUAAUAUUUAUGUAGUAAUUUAUUUUAAAAAUUUAAGGAAUUAAGAUUUAGUAAUAUUAAAAUUAAUAACUAAUUUUGUGCCAGCAGUUGCGGUUAAACAAAAAUUAAUUUAAAUUUUUUUAGUAAUUAAUUAAUAAAAAUUUAUUUUUUAAUUAAAAAUUUAAAUUAUAAGGUGAAAUUUUAAUUUAAUAAAAAAUUAUUUUAUAAUUAUGAUUUAAUAAUUUUUAUAAAAGACUAGGAUUAGAUACCCUAUUAUUAAAAAUUUAAAUUAAUAAUACUUAAAUAGUAGAUAAUUAUUUAUUGAAACUUAAAUAAAUUGGCGGUAUUUUAGUUUAUUUAGAGGAAUCUGUUUAAUAAUUGAUAAUCCACGAAUAAAUUUACUUAAUUUAUUUAUUUUGUAUAUCGUUGUUAAAAAAAUAUUUUUUUAUAAAAAUAAUAUUUAAAAUUUUAUAAUAAAAGUUAAAUCAGAUCAAGAUGCAGAUUAUAAUUAAGAAUAUAAUGGAUUACAAUAAAUUUAUUUAAUUGGAUUUUAAUAUGAAAAGAUUAAAUAAAAUUGGAUUUAAAUGUAAUUAUGUUUAAAUUAAUAUAAUGAUUAAAUAUUAAAAUAUGUACAUAUUGCCCGUCGCUUUCAUUUAUAAAUUGAAAUAAGUCGUAACAAAGUAGAGGUACUGGAAAGUGUUUCUAGAAAGAU